rnacentral:lncRNA from 1 species
UCAUAAUCCAACAAAUUUCCCAACGAUCUUGGUAACAACCUCACGUUUAAAUUUGAAUUGAAUGAUGAACGUUUGAAUGAUAUAUGUUUACUGAGUAAAAGAUAAAACACGUUUGAAAUCAUCUCAGUAAGACAUUUAAACUAAAACCCGUUUGAAACAAAAUAGGAGUUUGUUAAAGAUAAAAUCGAUUUGAAAUAAAAU